GACGAACGCUGGCGGCGUGCUUAACACAUGCAAGUCGAACGGAAAGGCCCUGCUUUUGUGGGGUGCUCGAGUGGCGAACGGGUGAGUAACACGUGAGUAACCUGCCCUUGACUUUGGGAUAACUUCAGGAAACUGGGGCUAAUACCGGAUAGGAGCUCCUGCUGCAUGGUGGGGGUUGGAAAGUUUCGGCGGUUGGGGAUGGACUCGCGGCUUAUCAGCUUGUUGGUGGGGUAGUGGCUUACCAAGGCUUUGACGGGUAGCCGGCCUGAGAGGGUGACCGGCGACAUUGGGACUGAGAUACGGCCCAGACUCCUACGGGGGGCAGCAGUGGGGAAUAUUGCACAGUGGGCGGAAGCCUGAUGCAGCAACGCCGCGUGCGGGAUGACGGCCUUCGGGUUGUAAACCGCUUUCGCCUGUGACGAAGCGUGAGUGACGGUAAUGGGUAAAGAAGCACCGGCUAACUACGUG
rnacentral:rRNA from 1 species